rnacentral:rRNA from 1 species
UACGGAGGGUGCGAGCGUUGUCCGGAAUCACUGGGCGUAAAGGGCGCGUAGGCGGCGCGGGGAGUCAACGGUGAAAGCUCGGCGCUCAACGCCGAGUCGGCCGUCGAUACUCCCGUGCUCGAGCACUGUAGAGGCAGGUGGAAUUCCGGGUGUAGCGGUGGAAUGCGUAGAUAUCAGGAGGGACACCGGUGGUGUAGACGGCUCUCUGGACCGUAACUGACGCUGAGACACGAAAGCGUGGGUAGCAAACAGG